rnacentral:sRNA from 1 species
CUCGCUCUGUUGUUCAGGGUUAUUAAUGCAACAUAAGUAAAAGUUAAACCCUAAGAUACAUUUGCUUUCAGUUUUUGUCCUCAGUGUUUCCCUUAGCUUCACGUACAUUUAAUAAUUCAACUUCUUGGCAAUAUCGCAACUCUGCGAAUUUUUUAAUGAAUUUUUAUAAGGGACAUAUUAUGUCUAACACAACUGGUAUCGUAAAGUGGUUUAACGAAGAGAAAGGUUUCGGUUUCAUUACUCAAGACAACGGCGGCGCUGACGUAUUCGUUCACUUCCGUGCUAUCGCUUCAGAGGGUUUCAAAACUCUUGCUGAAGGUCAAAAGGUUUCUUUUGAAGUUGAACAAGGCCAGAAAGGUCUUCAAGCUGCAAACGUUGUAGCUAUAUAAUUAGAAGAUUUAUUCUUCGAAGUAAUGCUGGCUUAUAGCCAGCAUUUAUUU